GCGUCUGUAGCCUAGUUGGUAAAAGGCAGCACUCUAGUAUGUGUCUCAGCAUAGCUGAGGUCGUGAGUUCGACUCUCACCAGACACA
rnacentral:tRNA from 1 species